rnacentral:tRNA from 1 species
GGGCGCAUAGCUCAACGGUAGAGCAACUCCCUCUUAAGGAGUCGGUUGGGGGUUCGAAUCCCUCUGCGCUCACCU